rnacentral:rRNA from 1 species
GAUGAACGCUAGCGGCAGGCUUAACACAUGCAAGUCGAGGGCAGCGCGGGAUAGCAAUAUCCUGGCGGCGACCGGCGGAAGGGUGCGUAACGCGUGAGCGACAUGCCCGUUGCCCGGGGACAACCGGUGGAAACGCCGACUAAUCCCCGAUGGGAUACGAUGCUUCAUGGCAUUGUAUUGAAAGUUACGGCGGCGCCGGAUUGGCUCGCGUCCGAUUAGCUGGUUGGCGGGGUAACGGCCCACCAAGGCUGCGAUCGGUAGGGGUUCUAAGAGGAGGGCCCCCCACAAUGGGACUGAGACACGGCCCAUACUCCUACGGGAGGCAGCAGUGAGGAAUAUUGGUCAAUGGGCGGAAGCCUGAACCAGCCAUGCCGCGUGCGGGAAGGAGGCCCUAUGGGCUGUGAACCGCUUUUGCCUGGGGGCAAUAAGGGCGUCGCGCACGUCCGAUGAGAGUACCAGGCGAAUAAGCAUCGGCUAACUCCGUG